AGAGUUUGAUCAUGGCUCAGAUUGAACGCUGGCGGCAGGCCUAACACAUGCAAGUCGAACGGUAACAUUUCUAGCUUGCUAGAAGAUGACGAGUGGCGGACGGGUGAGUAAUGCUUGGGAACUUGCCUUUGCGAGGGGGAUAACAGUUGGAAACGACUGCUAAUACCGCAUAAUGUCUUCGGACCAAACGGGGCUUCGGCUCCGGCGCAAAGAGAGGCCCAAGUGAGAUUAGCUAGUUGGUAAGGUAACGGCUUACCAAGGCGACGAUCUCUAGCUGUUCUGAGAGGAAGAUCAGCCACACUGGGACUGAGACACGGCCCAGACUCCUACGGGAGGCAGCAGUGGGGAAUAUUGCACAAUGGGGGAAACCCUGAUGCAGCCAUGCCGCGUGUGUGAAGAAGGCCUUCGGGUUGUAAAGCACUUUCAGUUGUGAGGAAAAGUUAGUAGUUAAUACCUGCUAGCCGUGACGUUAACAACAGAAGAAGCACCGGCUAACUCCGUGCCAGCAGCCGCGGUAAUACGGAGGGUGCGAGCGUUAAUCGGAAUUACUGGGCGUAAAGCGCACGCAGGCGGUUUGUUAAGCUAGAUGUGAAAGCCCCGGGCUCAACCUAGGAUGGUCAUUUAGAACUGGCAGACUAGAGUCUUGGAGAGGGGAGUGGAAUUCCAGGUGUAGCGGUGAAAUGCGUAGAUAUCUGGAGGAGCAUCAGUGGCGAAGGCGACUCCCUGGCCAAAGACUGACGCUCAUGUGCGAAAGUGUGGGUAGCGAACAGGA
rnacentral:rRNA from 1 species